GACGAACGCUGGCGGCGUGCUUAACACAUGCAAGUCGAACGGUGAUGCUCCAGCUUGCUGGAGUGGAUCAGUGGCGAACGGGUGAGUAACACGUGAGCAACCUGCCCCAGACUCUGGAAUAAGCGCUGGAAACGGCGUCUAAUACUGGAUACGAAACUGGCCCGCAUGGGCAUGGUUUGGAAAGUUUUUCGGUUUGGGAUGGGCUCGCGGCCUAUCAGCUUGUUGGUGAGGUAAUGGCUCACCAAGGCGACGACGGGUAGCCGGCCUGAGAGGGCGACCGGCCACACUGGGACUGAGACACGGCCCAGACUCCUACGGGAGGCAGCAGUGGGGAAUAUUGCACAAUGGGCGAAAGCCUGAUGCAGCGACGCCGCGUGAGGGAUGACGGCCUUCGGGUUGUAAACCUCUUUCAGCAGGGAAGAAGCGAAAGUGACGGUACCUGAAGAAGAAGCACCGGCUAACUACGUG
rnacentral:rRNA from 1 species